UAGAAGUAGCCCCUUGGGGGUGAGUGUGUGCCAUUUGAUUUUUUAUUUCAGAAUUAAGAAAGAGAAUCCAACCAAAAAUAUAUAUAUUAUUGAGGCGGCAUGAAAGAGCUUUGAGUUUGAGUUUUGUGCAGCCAUGGAUAUCAUCACUAGCAGACUUGAGAGAAUUGAGCUUGAGAUUUAUGAGGCAGAAAAGGAAAAGCUUCAAAGGGAGGAAACUCUGGGGGCUUUCUGGGAACACAUGCCUGCUAUUGAUCCAAUUCUCAUAUGAGAUCGUAUGCUCUCUCUCCAAAACCAAAUAUGCUCACUCGAAAGCAAGAAGAAGGCCCUGUUCAAAGAACAGCAACAUCUCCUUGUGCAGGCUGUUACUCUUGGGUGACAAAUUCUAAUUGUCUUUUUUAUUGAAGCUUGUACAAAAAAUCUAUAUAUACAUAUAUAUAUAUAUAUUCGUGACAGAAUUAUGGGUUAGCUAGUAUGACUGGCAGUUAAAGAAAGGAGACAUUAUUUCAAGGCUUUUGGAAUUGAGAGAGACUGAUCCAAAGUACUUGAGACAGUGUUCGUAAAAAAAAAAAAACCCUAAACCCGCCUAGGCGCUAGGGGCCCGCCUAGGUCCUUUUAUUUAUUUAUUAAUUAUUAAUUAUUGACUUUAAAGAAAACCUGUCUAUAACUUGAUGAUCAGAGCAUAUGUGUGUACAAAAAUCAGUGCAGUGGAUGAAACUCUUUCUUCGUUUGGGUGUUGAUGCUGCUGCAUAAGCAAAUUCUCUGCGAUGGCAUUUCCUGUAAUUGUCUCAGUUUUCCGUUCCUUGUAAAAGAAUGCACGAGUAGGGUUGAUGGCGGCACACAGGCUGGAGCUUCCAUAUAGAUAUGAUGUUUUUAGUUCAAAAUUCGUUGAUUGGUAUGUACUCUGCAUGUGGGUUUCUGAAUAGUGCACGUACAUUGUUUGAUGAAAUGUUGGAAAGGGAUGUUGUUUCGUGGAACUCGAUGAUUAAGGCAAUGAAUCUGUUUGGGAAGAUGAACAAGAGAAACAUUAUUACUUGGAAUUCCAUGAUUACUGGGUUUUUUUCAAGGUGGUCAGCCAUGGAACUUUUCCAUGAAAUGCAGAUCACCAGUGGUGAUAUGGUUAGGCCGGAUAAGAUCACAAUUGCCAGUGUCCUUGUAGCUUUGUGCUCAUCUGGGUGCAACUGAUCAUGGGAUAUGGGUGCAUGGGUACCUGAGGAGUGCCUAGAGAGUGAUGUGGUCAUUGGGACAGAAAUUCAUGUCUUCCCUCAAAAGCCCCUUUUUUGUUAAUUUUAUUUGCUUGCAGAAAUACAUGUCUAUAUGUUGAAGAAGGAAGUUCUUUCCAUGAUUGAACAUGAGGUUUCUGUUUGUAGUUUCAAUUGUUCAAACACACACAAAUACACGUGGACAACCUGGUGUGGCUAGCAAACCGAUAACUGUUGUAUAUUGUAUAUUGUUUUAGGGUGUCCAUGAUAAAUCAUUCAACGUCAAUAUUUAUAUUGCUUUCAUCAUAAGUUAUUGUUGUUUGUUUAGCAAAUGGUACAUUUACUGCUUUUCAUGAUAUAAUAUUCUAGUUCUACUAUCCACUCAUCUAUGAUUUUUUUGGGUGCAGAAAACUCUAGUAAGUUCAUUCGGUCAAUCACACGAAGCUGCUCCACCUCAUCUACAUUAUCCUGGUCUUCCUCCCGAAAAGGCCUCCUUAGAUCUAGCUCCAGAAGUUCUUCGAAACGGACUCAUUUCAAUGGUGGUCUUUUUUAUAACAAUGGAGCAAUGGGAUCUAGAUGCCAUUCGUUAACACUAGGAAAGCUAUAUGCUUGGGAGAAAAAACUCUAUAUGAGGAGGUGAAGGCUGGAGAGGAAACCAUGAGAAUAUAUGAGCGAAAACACUCCCAAUCGAGACAUGGCCUAAAGACCGGGGACAAAAUUGGAGUUGAAGUUGAGGAGUUGCGUUCCAGAAUUUUGGUUGCCAUAAGAAAUUCUGAAUAAUCAGUCUUCAAAAAAUUCAAAAGCUGAGAGAUGAAGAGAUGCAUCCACAACUUGUUGAGUUGCUACAUGGGCUAAUGAGGAACUGGAAGAUAAUGCCAGUAUCUCAUGAAACCUAAAAGAGAAUCAUGUCUGAACUGAAAAUUUUCAAUUGGUCAUCCUAUGGAAAGUUCUCUAAUGAGUCACACCAGCUUGCUACUCAAAAGCUUGAAGCAGAACUUCAAAAUUGGCGUGCAUGCAUUGCAGAAUAUGUUUCUUCGCAGAUGUCGUAUAUUGAAGCUCUUCAUGGCUGGCUACACAAGUUUGUUACCCCUGAAACUGAAUCUUACACAGGAGCUUGGUUUUCACUUCGACCGUCUAAAGUCAACAUGAUACUUUCACUUGAAAUUUGUCACAAUUGGUUAGUUUGCCUAGAUAAGCUGCCAGAUAAAGAUGUCACUUGUGCCAUGAAAAGUUUUGGGAAGGAUGUACAAGCCUUGAUGGUCCAACAAGGCAAGGAGCAUCAACAAAAGAGGAAGGUUGAUGGGCUUGCCAGAAAAUAUCCUAGGAAGGUUUUGGCAUUUGAAAUAAUGAAAAGUAUUCUUCAGUUGAAGUUUUUUGAGAAGGAAAUGAAAUUGCAUGCACAAAAAGGCUUGACAAAGAUGGAGAACGAGUUGCGUGGAGAUGGCGAAACAUCAUACCAGCAUGAAGGACACAAAAUAUUACAGUGAAUGGAUUUCAGAAGGGGUUUUCGUCAGUUUUUGAAUCCUUGACUGAGUUUUCAAAAAGUGCUAUGAAAAUGUAUAAUGAAUUUAUAACAUUUAGUGAGAAUGCAAUGAGGGCAGAUGACACAAGUAGCAAACCACCUGGCAGCAUCCAUGUUGAAGCCGAUGACAGUUGAAAAAACAUUAUGUUUCAAGGGAUUUGAGAAUGUUAGGAACUUUUUAAUUUUUUAUUAUUACAUUUAUUUUUUAGGAAA